GACGAACGCUGGCGGCGUGCUUAACACAUGCAAGUCGAACGCUGAAGACCUGGCUUUUGUUGGGUUGGAUGAGUGGCGAACGGGUGAGUAACACGUGAGUAACCUGCCCUCUUCUUUGGGAUAACGCCCGGAAACGGGUGCUAAUACUGGAUAUCCCCUGAUCUUCGCAUGGGGGUGGGUGGAAGGGUUUGUUCUGGUGGGGGAUGGGCUCGCGGCCUAUCAGCUUGUUGGUGGGGUGAUGGCCUACCAAGGCUUGGACGGGUAGCCGGCCUGAGAGGGUGACCGGUCACAUUGGGACUGAGAUACGGCCCAGACUCCUACGGGAGGCAGCAGUGGGGAAUAUUGCACAAUGGGCGAAAGCCUGAUGCAGCGACGCCGCGUGAGGGAUGGAGGCCUUCGGGGUGUAAACCUCUUUCGCUCAUGGUCAAGCCGCAACUGUGGGUUGUGGUGAGGGUAGUGGGUAAAGAAGCGCCGGCUAACUACGUG
rnacentral:rRNA from 1 species